GGAGAGAUGGCUCAGCGGUUGAGAGCACCAGCUAUUCUUCUGGAAGACCUGGGUUCAAUUCCCAGCACCC
rnacentral:tRNA from 1 species